rnacentral:tRNA from 1 species
GUUGUCGUGGCCGAAUGGUUAAGGCGAUGGACUAGAAAUAUUUUGGGAUCUUCCCGCGCAGGUUCAAAUCCUGCAGACAUCG